rnacentral:rRNA from 1 species
AUUGAACGCUGGCGGCAUGCUUUACACAUGCAAGUCGAACGGCAGCGCGGGCUUCGGCCUGGCGGCGAGUGGCGAACGGGUGAGUAAUACAUCGGAACGUGCCCAGUAGUGGGGGAUAGCUCGGCGAAAGCCGGAUUAAUACCGCAUACGACCUGAGGGUGAAAGCGGGGGAUCUUCGGACCUCGCGCUAUUGGAGCGGCCGAUGGCAGAUUAGCUAGUUGGUGGGGUAAAGGCCUACCAAGGCGACGAUCUGUAGCUGGUCUGAGAGGACGACCAGCCACACUGGGACUGAGACACGGCCCAGACUCCUACGGGAGGCAGCAGUGGGGAAUUUUGGACAAUGGGCGAAAGCCUGAUCCAGCAAUGCCGCGUGUGUGAUGAAGGCCUUCGGGUUGCAAAGCACUUUUGGCGGGAACGAAAAGGACUGUGCCAAUACCACGGUUCGAUGACGGUACCCGCAGAAUAAGCACCGGCUAACUACGUG